rnacentral:piRNA from 1 species
UCCAGAUCUUAACGUGGUCUAAUGAUAU